AGGAUGUUUGAUAACAGCCUGAAAAGUGGGAUUGACAUGAUAUCACUUAACCAAUGACAUUUAGAAAAGAGAAAAGGGGGAUGGCUGAAUGGGAGGAUGGAGCAGAUGCAGAAGGUAAAGGGGGAAGAGAAAAGGCUUAAGAUGAAAGAGUUAAAUUUAAAAAUAAAAAGUUUUAAAUAUAAAAAGUUAAAUUUAACAUUACUUAAACAAUUUAGUAACUGAAGGAAUGUAAGUUUUAGUUAUUCAAGUUCUGGAUCAGGUUGGUUAAUAUCAUAUUAGAAUGCCACUGAAUAAAGGAUCUAACUUUCUGACUUCAAGUGUAAAAUAGAGUAUAAUGUUACUCUAACUCACAGGUUUAAUACACAAAACCAAUAAGAUCUUAAAAAUAACAGAAGAUUUAUUGCUUGAGUAGAGCAAAUCAUAAUGUUGAGUGAAUGGAAAAUUCCAGAUAUUCACAAUUUACUAUGCAUCUUUGAAUCCACUGGGUUUUUUGGUCAAUACACACAUUAAUAACAGUGUGCACUGUUAGUAUGUUGUUACCUUCCCAGCAAGGCCCAACCCACUAUUUGGUAACCUAUUUAUAUGCUGAAAAUCUAUUGACCUUGUGCUUAUGGUUUGGCUGUUCUGCCUGUUCUAAAAAUAAAGAGGAAACAUUUUACAUUGGAUUUCAGAGUUGGUUGGAUAUUUAAUUUACGAAGUAAAGUACUUCAAGAACAUACCCUGGAAGGUUUUACAUCAUUAGGAGAAAGAGAAGCUUGGAAUUAAUCUUUCAUCCAAAGAAUACCACACCUGGAGCAAAAACCAAGCUUACAUCAAUGGAGUGACUUGAACCCAUGACUCAGAGGUGACAAUGUCAUAUGGAAUACAGUAAUAAAGUCAAUUGGACCUCUGGACUAUCACUUGGACUUUUCCAGGUCCACAAGCGUCUUGGAUGGUUUUUAAAGUAGGUAUUCAUAAUGACCUGAUUUUUCAUCUUGCACCAUUCUACCCAUUUCAAACCUUUUUCAUUUCUUUCCCCUAGUCCAAAUUUUCCUAUGGUAUUUCCAUCAGCACCUUGUUCUACUUUAGCAUUUAGAUCUCCCAUGAUAAUAACAAUAUCUUGAGAUUUGCAUCCAUUCUUUCCUUGUUCAAGCUUUUCAUAGAAUUUAUCUAUAUCCUAAUUUGUUCCAUCUGUUGUUGGUGCAUAUACCCGUAUAAUUGCUAAAUCAAAUGGUUGCCCUCUGAAUCUAACAAGGAGCACUCUCUCUGAGAUCGCCCAAUGUCCUAAAACACUUCUUGCCAUGUUUUCAUCCUUAAGAAUUCCUACUCCAUUAGUAUGGGAUGUUCCACAAGAUUAGUGUUUGAUUUCUGUUCUGAAAUGUUCCAGCACCUGUCCAACGAACUUCACUAAUUCCCAUGAUGUUAAUCUUUAGUCUUUCCAUUUCAUUCAUCAUAUGAUUCCAUCUUCCUGCUUGAUAUAGGGUUCUAACAUUCCAAGUGGCAAUAAUUUUCUUUUGUGUUACUUGAAU